CUAAACGGUCACAGCAAACAAAUCAAAAGCCGGAGUUUUAAAACGUCAAAAUGAGACAAAAGUUACCUGAAUGAGUAAGAGGUCAAGGGCACGGUCCUGCUGCGUCGCACAGAAGCAGAGCCCCCGUCAGUACGAUGCCAGCGUUUAUUAUAUUUUAUUGGUUUUCAAUAUUAUAGAUUCUCAACUUCUCCGAAAAAUUGAUCGUUUUUAUUUAUGCUAGAAAUUCCACGUAAGCGGGACGUUUAACCGGAGCAGGUUUUCCAGGCGGGAGUUCAGCUGCGGGGAUGUGAAUUUACAGAGCCAAGGCGGCGGCGUGUGCGGCGGGUUAGAGCCCCCGGCCGGGUCCGAGCGCAUCCGGGUUAGAGUCCCCGGCCGGGUCCCAGUGCAUCCGGGUUAGAGCCCCCGGCCGGGUCCGUGCACAUCCGGGUUAGAGCCCCCCGCCGGGUCCGUGCACAUCCGGGUUAGAGCCCCCCGCCGGGUCCGUGCACAUCCGGGUUAGAGCCCCCGGCCGGGUCUGUGCGCAUCCGGGUUAGAGCCCCCGGCCGGGUCCGUGCACAUCCGGGUUAGAGCCCCCCCGCCGGGUCCGUGCGCAUCCGGGUUGGAGCCCCCGGCCGGGUCCAAGCGCAUCCAGGUUAGAGCCCCCUGCCGGCUCCGUGCACAUCCGGGUUAGAGCCCCCUGCCGGGUCCGAGCGCAUCCGGGUUAGAGCCUCCUGCCGGGUCCGAGGGCGGCCCCGUUAGAGCCCCCGUGCCGGGUCCUCGCGCGGCGGGGUUAGAGCCCCCGGGCCGGCCGGGGCAGGACGCACGUCCGUGCGCACCGCAAGACACCACGAAGCUGGGGCCACUCGCCUGCUGACGAUGCGGGGACCAGGGUCGGACGGCCUGGCGCAGGUGUGGCUGCGCGACUCCACCCACGGCCCCAGCUUUGGAGGCGCCCGGUGUCUGCAGAGGGCAGCUGGGCUCCUUCCCACAAGACCCGGACGCUGCACAUCCCACGACAGGGAGAGCACCUGCCCGGGUCACGCGGGCUGCCAACCCCCGGCCUCGGCCCCACGUGGGCAGGAGGGAAUGGCCCUGGCGCGGACACGGGGAGGGAGGGCGGUUGGAAGGGAUGGGCAGGCUCCCUCCCCGAGGACACGUCCUGCACGUGCAGGCAACGAGACCUGUCGGGGACGUUUUCUGGGAACCGGUCACAACACGAGCCGGCCUGCGAGGUGUGCAGGUGGGGGUCCCCGUGGGACCGGAGGUGCCCUGUGCUCAGCUGGAGGCGCCCCGGGGCCCCCGUGCAGCCUCGCUCAACCCACCCGCCCAAGAGUUGAGCAAAGAUUGCGGAAGAGUCUGCAGAAUCUUCUAAACCAGUGGUAAGCACUGAAUCCGCAGCUUCCUCUCGCGGUAUUUGGACGCUGAGGCCCGUGGCACGCGUGACCAGCCCAUGGCAUCACGGAUGACCUGACCUCCAACCGAAGAAAACCACCUACUUGAACCACCAUUCCCCUCAUUUCACUUUCCUAUUUGAGUGUCGCCGACACAUGUCACACCAGUUUCAGGUGCACGACAUAGUGAUUCAGCUCUUCUAUGUGCUGUGCUUCCCCUAUCUUUAAAGGGAAUGUCGAAAUUUGUAUAAGUAUUUGUUAUUUUGUUAGGACACUAAAUUUCAUUGCUCUAUUAUGUGUAUUUUAUAAACAUAUCUACUAAGCCUGAGGUUCCAGAACAAGUGCUUGGUCUUGAUUCCCGAGAGCUUCCCUCAAGGGAGAUUAUGUAUGUGUCUAUUCUGUGCCUAUUUUCAGAGGGAAGUUGGAAACUACAUGUAUCCUUGGUAGAAGAGUAGUUGUUAAGUGAGUUAUGAUGUAUUCGGGCAAUGUGACAGUGUAAUGGCAUCCAACUUAUAUUUAUGAAGAAUUUCUGUUAACAUGGGAAGUGCUCAAAAUAUGUAAAAUUCCAUGUAUAAGCUCAACCUGUAAUCCUACACGUACACAGUCACGUAUUUUAAAAACUGGAAUAAAUAAAUAAAAAUUGGA
rnacentral:lncRNA from 1 species